UACGUAGGGUGCUAGCGUUGUCCGGAUUUAUUGGGCGUAAAGGGCUCGUAGGCGGUGUGUCGCGUCGGCCGUGAAAACCUGCAGCUUAACUGUGGGCUUGCGGUCGAUACGGGCAUCACUGGAGUUCGGCAGGGGAGACUGGAAUUCCUGGUGUAGCGGUGAAAUGCGCAGAUAUCAGGAGGAACACCGGUGGCGAAGGCGGGUCUCUGGGCCGAUACUGACGCUGAGGAGCGAAAGCGUGGGGAGCGAACAGG
rnacentral:rRNA from 1 species